CAGAUUUAUUCUUGAGCCCCUCCCCCCGCUAAUAAAACACGACCUGCGAGUUUAUUAAACGGCUUCAAACACGACUAUAAAUGCAAUAGAUAUACUUCCUUAUUACUAUUCUUUAUAUAAAGAAUACUAAUUAGGAGUAUUUUAUCAGGUUUAAAGCCACUGCACGUGACAUAUUAUGGUUGACAUGAUUUGCCAAUAAACUUAUGAAUUAUUAAUGAGUGUUUGAAAUAUAAUUAUUUAACGUCGUGUAAACUUUUCAUCGACCAAUUUUAAAAUAAAAUGUCUUGUUAUAAAGAGAAGUAUUUGAACAUAUAUCAAUCUCGUCCCCAGAGCACGCCCAUUCGCAGCUGAGCAGAUGGGGAUAGUGUUUUCCAUGCAAUUUGAUUGGUCGCCCAGUCCCGGAUAUUCUUGCACAAUUCACCCCCGGACUCGCCUGCGUGCCUUGGACCAAAACAUGUCCCCCCCGUUUUGCUCCGGUUACAGACGAGCAAAUCGUUUUACUAAACGAAGCUGCGGUUCCGUCAAAAGCGCUUCUGCGCAAGCGCGCGGGCAGCACUCGCGAUGUCUAGUCACUUGAAUGGCCCGCAUAAACCUGUACAUAGCAUAGAUAUCUUAUAUACACUAGAUAGUGCAUCUAAUUAUUCUGCAAUUCAAAAAUUGAAGCCGUGAUUGCAGACUCAGGUCGUUCCCAUGAAAUGAGAAGAUUCGUAUGUUUUCUAUUUCUUAAACAGGGAACUUAAACAUUAAGUAAACCCUAUUCCAAAUGCAUUUUUAAACUAUUCGAAUGAUGAAAGUUAUUGUUGUUUUUAAGCGUUUGUUACUAAGUGGGAACAACCAACA